UGGGGAAUAUUGCACAAUGGGGGAAACCCUGAUGCAGCGACGCCGCGUGAGCGAAGAAGGUUUUCGAAUCGUAAAGCUCUGUCCUAUGAGAAGAUAAUGACGGUACCCUGUGAGGAAGCCCCGGCUAACUACGUGCCAGCAGCCGCGGUAAUACGUAGGGGGCUAGCGUUAUCCGGAUUUACUGGGCGUAAAGGGUGCGUAGGUGGUCUUUCAAGUCGGUGGUUAAAGGCUACGGCUCAACCGUAGUUAGCCUCCGAAACUGGAAGACUUGAGUGCAGGAGAGGAAAGUGGAAUUCCUAGUGUAGCGGUGAAAUGCGUAGAUAUUAGGAGGAAUACCGGUGGCGAAGGCGACUUUCUGGACUUUUACUGACGCUCAGGUACGAAAGCGUGGGGAGCAAACAGG
rnacentral:rRNA from 1 species